rnacentral:rRNA from 1 species
AGAGUGAACGCUGGCGGUAGGCCUAACACAUGCAAGUCGAACGGCAGCACAGUGGUAGCAAUACCAUGGGUGGCGAGUGGCGGACGGGUGAGGAAUACAUCGGAAUCUACCUUUUCGUGGGGGAUAACGUAGGGAAACUUACGCUAAUACCGCAUACGCCCUUUGGGGGAAAGCCGGGGAUCGCAAGACCUGGCGCGGAUAGAUGAGCCGAUGUCGGAUUAGCUAGUUGGUGAGGUAAUGGCUCACCAAGGCGACGAUCCGUAGCUGGUCUGAGAGGAUGAUCAGCCACACUGGAACUGAGACACGGUCCAGACUCCUACGGGAGGCAGCAGUGGGAAUAUUGGACAAUGGGCGCAAGCCUGAUCCAGCCAUACCGCGUGGGUGAGAAGCCUUCGGUUGUAAACGUCCGUUUGUAGGAAAGAAAGACAAGUACGUUAACGUACCGGUUGUUACGUCGUACGUAACCAAGAAUAAGACACCGACUAACUCGUCGCCGACGCGACGCCGACGUAA